UACGUAGGGUGCAAGCGUUGUCCGGAAUUAUUGGGCGUAAAGAGCUCGUAGGCGGUUUGUCGCGUCUGCUGUGAAAUCCCGAGGCUCAACCUCGGGCCUGCAGUGGGUACGGGCAGACUUGAGUGCGGUAGGGGAGAUUGGAAUCCCUGGUGUAGCGGUAGAAUGCGCAGAUAUCAGGAGGAACACCGAUGGCGAAGGCAGAUCUCUGGGCCGUUACUGACGCUGAGGAGCGAAAGCAUGGGGAGCGAACAGG
rnacentral:rRNA from 1 species